rnacentral:rRNA from 1 species
UUGGAGGGCAAGUCUGGUGCCAGCAGCCGCGGUAAUUCCAGCUCCAAUAGCGUAUAUUAAAGUUGUUGCAGUUAAAAAGCUCGUAGUUGAAUUUCGGGGUUAGUAGGUUGGUCAUGCCUCUGGUAUGUACUGGUCUCACUGAUUCCUCCUUCCUGAUGAACCUUAAUGCCAUUAAUUUGGUGUUUUGGGGAAUUUGGACUGUUACUUUGAGAAAAUUAGAGUGUUUAAAGCAAGCUAACGCUUGAAUACAUUAGCAUGGAAUAAUGAAAUAGGACGUUCGAUCCUAUUUUGUUGGUUUCUAGGAUUGACGUAAUGAUUAAUAGGGAUAGUUGGGGGCAUUAGUAUUCAAUUGUCAGAGGUGAAAUUCUUGGAUUUAUUGAAGACUAACUACUGCGAAAGCAUUUGCCAAGGAUGUUUUCAUUAAUCAAGAACGAAAGUUAGGGGAUCGAAGACGAUCAGAUACCGUCGUAGUCUUAACCAUAAACUAUGCCGACUAGGGAUCGGAUGAUGUUAAUUUUUUAAUGACUCAUUCGGCGCCUUACGGGAAAC